CCCUCAUCGACAAUGCGCUGAGCAAGAAGCCGCAGGUAGUGCAGAUCGAACCGACCGACAAGGCGUUCAGGACGACGGGCUGCCAGCCCUGGCAGAACACCGGCGGCGAGGGCAAUGCGCCGGCCGAGCUGCCCGGACCCGCCGCCGGAGCCCAACUGCAAACCGAUCUCGGCAUCCUCAACGGAUUGCUCGGUCCGAACGGACAGCAAGUA
rnacentral:ncRNA from 1 species